rnacentral:rRNA from 1 species
UGGGGAAUAUUGGACAAUGGGCGAAAGCCUGAUCCAGCCAUGCCGCGUGUGUGAAGAAGGUCUUCGGAUUGUAAAGCACUUUAAGUUGGGAGGAAGGGCCAUUACCUAAUACGUGAUGGUUUUGACGUUACCGACAGAAUAAGCACCGGCUAACUCUGUGCCAGCAGCCGCGGUAAUACAGAGGGUGCAAGCGUUAAUCGGAAUUACUGGGCGUAAAGCGCGCGUAGGUGGUUUGUUAAGUUGGAUGUGAAAUCCCCGGGCUCAACCUGGGAACUGCAUUCAAAACUGACUGACUAGAGUAUGGUAGAGGGUGGUGGAAUUUCCUGUGUAGCGGUGAAAUGCGUAGAUAUAGGAAGGAACACCAGUGGCGAAGGCGACCACCUGGACUAAUACUGACACUGAGGUGCGAAAGCGUGGGGAGCAAACAGGAUUAGAUACCCAUGUAGUCCCUGAGCGGGCUGGCAAGGCGCAU